rnacentral:rRNA from 1 species
UGGGGAAUAUUGCACAAUGGGCGCAAGCCUGAUGCAGCCAUGCCGCGUGUGUGAAGAAGGCCUCCGGGUUGUAAAGCACUUUCAGCGGGGAGGAAGGCGAUAAGGUUAAUAACCUUGUCGAUUGACGUUACCCGCAGAAGAAGCACCGGCUAACUCCGUGCCAGCAGCCGCGGUAAUACGGAGGGUGCAAGCGUUAAUCGGAAUUACUGGGCGUAAAGCGCACGCAGGCGGUCUGUCAAGUCGGAUGUGAAAUCCCCGGGCUCAACCUGGGAACUGCAUUCGAAACUUGCAGGCUAGAGUCUUGUAGAGGGGGGUAGAAUUCCAGGUGUAGCCGUGAAAUGCGUAGAGCUCUGGAGGAAUACCGGUGGCGAAGGCGGCCCCCUGGACGAUAACUGACGCUCAGGUGCGAAAGCGUGGGGAGCAAACAGG